rnacentral:rRNA from 1 species
UGGGGAAUAUUGCACAAUGGGGGAAACCCUGAUGCAGCGACGCCGCGUGAGCGAAGAAGGUUUUCGAAUCGUAAAGCUCUGUCCUAUGAGAAGAUAAUGACGGUAUCAUAGGAGGAAGCCCCGUCUAAAUACGUGCCAGCAGCCGCGGUAAUACGUAUGGGGCGAGCGUUGUCCGGAAUUAUUGGGCGUAAAGGGCGUGUAGGCGGCUAGAUAAGUGUGAUGUUUAAAUCCAAGGCUUAACCUUGGGGUUCAUUACAAACUGUUUAGCUUGAGUGCUGGAGAGGAUAGUGGAAUUCCUAGUGUAGCGGUAAAAUGCGUAGAUAUUAGGAGGAACACCGGUGGCGAAGGCGGCUAUCUGGACAGUAACUGACGCUGAGGCGCGAAAGCGUGGGGAGCAAACAGG